rnacentral:rRNA from 1 species
UGGCGAACGGGUGAGUAACACGUGGGUAAUCUGCCCUGCACUCUGGGAUAAGCCUGGGAAACUGGGUCUAAUACUGGAUAUGACCUUUCUCCUUAUGGGGUUCGGUGGAAAGUUUUUCGGUGUAGGAUGAGCCCGCGGCCUAUCAGCUUGUUGGUGGGGUGAUGGCCUACCAAGGCGACGACGGGUAGCCGGCCUGAGAGGGUGAUCGGCCACAUUGGGACUGAGAUACGGCCCAG